UCGUUAUCUGUAAUGUAAGAAGAACUUGAUAGCAUGGAUAAUCCGAAGCAUAAUAGCUUGAAAGCUCUGGAAUGGGGUUCAUCCAUGAAACACAUAUGCCUGGCCAUCCGGAGAACAGAGCGGCAGCUGUGAAGGUUGGCUUCUGAGUCACCAUCACUGAAGUGGAACUAUUUGUACAAGUUCAAAGGCACCAAAGACCUUGGCAAUCAUCUGCCCUAGUGAAUGUCAAGACAUAGAUGACAUCACUGUAAACUGGUUCAGUCAUGGGAUUGGCGAGCCUUUUUGAAUACUUUGCCCAAGGUAGCAAUUUUGCAAUCCACCGUAGCUGAAGUAAGUAUAGACCUCAGCUCGCUCCAGCCUCCUUCUCGCUCCUCCAUCCAGCCCCACGUCCCCACUUGGGUGAAAACACUUUGCAUAUAAACAAACUCCUCUCAAAGACACCUCAACCUUGACAUUGCUUUCUCCCUUUUCCAAACUUGCUUCCUUUUAAAACACCUCGCGCUCUGCCAUGCUCCCACAUGAGGCCCAAUUAUCAGAAUAAUAAUUAACAGGCCCUCAUUAUUUCGGAUCAAACAAUGCCCCCCAUAAUGAAGCCAAGAAUAGCCAAUGUGAUCCCUUAAAAUGGGGCGCGAGUUUCCUUACACCUUGGGGCGUCUAAUCCACUGAAACCAUUAGGCACCGAGCUGCCCAUAACGGCCGGGAUAACAUUGAGUCAAGGACAGUUAAUGGGUGCCAGAGCACAGACCAAAGUGCUCCAAGCAUGUCAGUCAAGACUAACCGGAGGCUAAAACAUCAAAAUGCAGGUUGGAGUUUUGACAUUCCUGCAGGCUCUGAACGCCUCGCCAGUAAAUUUUUAAAGUCAAUAUCCCCCUUAUGCUCAUGAACACUCUUCUGUCUGAUGCGUGGGACUAAUGUGGAUCUGAUUGAACUGUGACUAAAGUAGGACUUUAAAGGCAGCUUUGAAUGUGUGGGGGGUGGAAAGGUUGUUUUUUUUUUCUCCUGUGUGUGUUUUCUUUCUUUUUUUUUUCUUCUUCCCCAGAAAGGACUGUGAUAAUAAUGAAGACCGUGUACACAGAUUAUCACAGGCUGUGUCUUUCGACUUCAAGGUUAUGUGAUUAGAAAAUUAGAAAAGCGACAAGAUUAGAAAAACCGCAGAACAUUUUGAAAGAAAGCUUUUUUACAAAUUAUCUGUGUGCAGGAUUUACACAGAAUCUGAUAGAUGGAUCUUCUAAUGUUUGGAAAUGGAUAAAUGCAACAAUGCAAAUAGGAAGAACUGCUUUGGGGCCCAUUCCUGGCAGAAGUUCAAAACCCAUAUUAAGUAUUCUAACGCGCUGAAUGCCUGUUACUUCUAUGUGUUUUUUAAAUUGCCAUGUACAUACAUAACACAAAAUACGACCAUUUUGUAAAUAAAAGCUAAAAAUAACAAUGAGAUUGUUGUU